rnacentral:rRNA from 1 species
GACGAACGCUGGCGGCGUGCUUAACACAUGCAAGUGGAGCGACUAAGCGGGCUUCGGCCCGUGGCAAAGCCGCGAACGGGUGAGUAACACGUGGGUAACCUGCCCUGAUGACCGGGACAACCCGAGGAAACUCGGUCUAAUACCGGAUGUGGUCCAUACACAUGAGUGUUUGGACCAAAGGUAGCUUCGGCCUCCGCAUCAGGAUGGGCCCGCGGCGCAUUAGCUUGUUGGUGAGGGAAUGGCUUACCAAGGCGACGAUGCGUAGCUGGUCGGAGAGGACGAUCAGCCACACUGGGACUGAGACACGGCCCAGACUCCUACGGGAGGCAGCAGUGGGGAAUCUUGCGCAAUGCGCGAAAGCGUGACGCAGCAACGCCGCGUGAGGGAAGACGGCUUUCGGGUUGUAAACCUCUUUCAGGAGGGACGAAGCCUGGCUGGUGAAUAGCCUGUCCAGGUGACGGUACCUCCACAAGAAGUCCCGGCUAACUACGUGCCAGCCGCCGCCGUAA